rnacentral:rRNA from 1 species
UCACGGCCUAUCAGCUUGUUGGUGAGGUAAUGGCUCACCAAGGCGACGACGGGUAGCCGGCCUGAGAGGGUGACCGGCCACACUGGGACUGAGACACGGCCCAGACUCCUACGGGAGGCAGCAGUGGGGAAUAUUGCACAAUGGGCGAAAGCCUGAUGCAGCGACGCCGCGUGAGGGAUGACGGCCUUCGGGUUGUAAACCUCUUUCAGCAGGGAAGAAGCCACAAGUGACGGUACCUGCAGAAGAAGCGCCGGCUAACUACGUGCCAGCAGCCGCGGUAAUACGUAGGGCGCAAGCGUUGUCCGGAAUUAUUGGGCGUAAAGAGCUCGUAGGCGGUUUGUCGCGUCUGCUGUGAAAGCCCGGGGCUUAACCCCGGGUGUGCAGUGGGUACGGGCAGACUAGAGUGCAGUAGGGGAGACUGGAAUUCCUGGUGUAGCGGUGGAAUGCGCAGAUAUCAGGAGGAACACCGAUGGCGAAGGCAGGUCUCUGGGCUGUUACUGACGCUGAGGAGCGAAAGCAUGGGGAGCGAACAGGAUUAGAUACCCUGGUAGUCCAUGCCGUAAACGUUGGGCACUAGGUGUGGGGGACAUUCC